rnacentral:rRNA from 1 species
CACGUAGGGGACGAGCGUUGUCCGGAUUCAUUGGGCGUAAAGCGCUCGCAGGUGGUUCGAUGCGUCGUGCGUGAAAGACCCCGGCUCAACUGGGGAGGGUCGUGCGAUACGGUCGAACUGGAGGCCAGUAGGGGGAUGCGGAAUUCCGGGUGUAGUGGUGGAAUGCGUAGAGAUCCGGAGGAACACCAGCGGCGAAGGCGGCAUCCUGGACUGGUCCUGACACUCAUGAGCGAAAGCGUGGGGAGCGAGUCCGG